CUUCUUUCUAUCCUAGUAUAACUUGAAGAAUUCAAAUAGUCAUGCUAGGAUAGAAAGAAUGGG
rnacentral:pre_miRNA from 1 species